UCACACAUAUUGUGGUGUAGUGUCACCGAA
rnacentral:piRNA from 1 species